rnacentral:rRNA from 1 species
UCAUCUUCGGGGGUAGAGCACUGUUUCGGCUAGGGGGCCAUCCCGGCUUACCAACCCGAUGCAAACUACGAAUACCGAAGAAUGUUAUCACGGGAGACACACGGCGGGUGCUAACGUCCGUCGUGAAGAGGGAAACAACCCAGACCGCCAGCUAAGGUCCCAAAGUCAUGGUUAAGUGGGAAACGAUGUGGGAAGGCACAGACAGCCAGGAUGUUGGCUUAGAAGCAGCCAUCAUUUAAAGAAAGCGUAAUAGCUCACUGGUCGAGUCGGCCUGCGCGGAAGAUGUAACGGGGCUAAACCAUGCACCGAAGCUGCGGCAGCGACACUUAUGUGUUGUUGGGUAGGGGAGCGUUCUGUAAGCCGUUGAAGGUGGCCUGUGAGGGUUGCUGGAGGUAUCAGAAGUGCGAAUGCUGACAUAAGUAACGAUAAAGCGGGUGAAAAGCCCGCUCGCCGGAAGACCAAGGGUUCCUGUCCAACGUUAAUCGGGGCAGGGUGAGUCGACCCCUAAGGCGAGGCCGAAAGGCGUAGUCGAUGGGAAACAGGUUAAUAUUCCUGUACUUGGUGUUACUGCGAAGGGGGGACGGAGAAGGCUAUGUCAGCCGGGCGACGGUUGUCCCGGUUUAAGCAUGUAGGCGGAGGUUCCAGGUAAAUCCGGUACCUUAUUAACGCUGAGGUGUGAUGACGAGGCACUACGGUGCUGAAGUGAUAAAUGCCCUGCUUCCAGGAAAAGCCUCUAAGCAUCAGGUAACACGAAAUCGUACCCCAAACCGACACAGGUGGUCAGGUAGAGAAUACCAAGGCGCUUGAGAGAACUCGGGUGAAGGAACUAGGCAAAAUGGUGCCGUAACUUCGGGAGAAGGCACGCUGAUGUGUAGGUGAAGCCCCUGCGGGUGGAGCUGAAAUCAGUCGAAGAUACCAGCUGGCUGCAACUGUUUAUUAAAAACACAGCACUGUGCAAACACGAAAGUGGACGUAUACGGUGUGACGCCUGCCCGGUGCCGGAAGGUUAAUUGAUGGGGUUAGCGGCAACGCGAAGCUCUUGAUCGAAGCCCCGGUAAACGGCGGCCGUAACUAUAACGGUCCUAAGGUAGCGAAAUUCCUUGUCGGGUAAGUUCCGACCUGCACGAAUGGCGUAAUGAUGGCCAGGCUGUCUCCACCCGAGACUCAGUGAAAUUGAACUCGCUGUGAAGAUGCAGUGUACCCGCGGCAAGACGGAAAGACCCCGUGAACCUUUACUAUAGCUUGACACUGAACACUGGUCCUUGAUGUGUAGGAUAGGUGGGAGGCUUUGAAGCGUGGACGCCAGUCUGCGUGGAGCCAACCUUGAAAUACCACCCUUUAAUGGCUGGUGUUCUAACGUAGACCCGUAAUCCGGGUUGCGGACAGUGUCUGGUGGGUAGUUUGACUGGGGCGGUCUCCUCCCAAAGAGUAACGGAGGAGCACGAAGGUUGGCUAAUCCUGGUCGGACAUCAGGAGGUUAGUGCAAUGGCAUAAGCCAGCUUGACUGCGAGCGUGACGGCGCGAGCAGGUGCGAAAGCAGGUCAUAGUGAUCCGGUGGUUCUGAAUGGAAGGGCCAUCGCUCAACGGAUAAAAGGUACUCCGGGGAUAACAGGCUGAUACCGCCCAAGAGUUCAUAUCGACGGCGGUGUUUGGCACCUCGAUGUCGGCUCAUCACAUCCUGGGGCUGAAGUAGGUCCCAAGGGUAUGGCUGUUCGCCAUUUAAAGUGGUACGCGAGCUGGGUUUAGAACGUCGUGAGACAGUUCGGUCCCUAUCUGCCGUGGGCGCUGGAGAAUUGAGGGGGGCUGCUCCUAGUACGAGAGGACCGGAGUGGACGCAUCACUGGUGUUCGGGUUGUCAUGCCAAUGGCACUGCCCGGUAGCUAAAUGCGGAAGAGAUAAGUGCUGAAAGCAUCUAAGCACGAAACUUGCCCC